CGGAGGCUCCGAGGACGG
rnacentral:misc_RNA from 1 species